rnacentral:misc_RNA from 1 species
CGGCCGGCCAUCAUCAGUGAUCCUCUACAAUCAUCGACUUUCAGCAAAUUAAGAUGGCUGCUGCCUUCUCCUCCACCGUUGGAGCUCCGGCGUCCACUCCGACCAACUUCCUGGGGAAGAAGCUGAAGAAGCAGGUGACAUCGGCGGUGAACUACCAUGGCAAGAGCUCCAACAUCAACAGGUUCAAGGUGAUGGCCAAGGAGCUGGACGAGGGCAAGCAGACCGACCAGGACAGGUGGAAGGGUCUCGCCUACGACAUCUCCGAUGACCAGCAGGACAUCACCAGGGGGAAGGGUUUCGUCGACUCCCUUUUCCAGGCUCCCACGGGUGAUGGCACCCACGAGGCCGUCCUCAGCUCCUACGAGUACCUCAGCCAGGGUCUCAGAACGUACGACUUCGACAACACCAUGGGAGGCUUCUACAUCGCCCCUGCUUUCAUGGACAAGCUCGUCGUCCACAUCUCCAAGAACUUCAUGACCCUCCCCAACAUCAAGGUCCCACUCAUCCUGGGUAUCUGGGGAGGCAAG